AUCAGGGGCCCUGGAAAGGGCCUCCCGGGUCGCUCUCCGACUUACCGUUGGGACGGCUCGUGUUGUAAAGCCCACAAGGCAGUUCGACGAGAUUGCGACUGGAACGAAGUUGUCCUGAGGGACGGGGAAGCGUUUUAACGUAUAGCCAGCAUGGCAAUCGCAGUCUACUGAGUCGUCCAACGGCAUCCACGAGCCGGUAAACGCCAAAUGACCUGGUCAUUUGCAGCAGCUGUAGUCAGCGAACUGUUC
rnacentral:ncRNA from 1 species